rnacentral:rRNA from 1 species
GACGAACGCUGGCGGCGUGCCUAAUACAUGCAAGUAGAACGCUGAAGAGAGGAGCUUGCUCUUCUUGGAUGAGUUGCGAACGGGUGAGUAACGCGUAGGUAACCUGCCUGGUAGCGGGGGAUAACUAUUGGAAACGAUAGCUAAUACCGCAUAAAAUUGCUUAUCGCAUGAUAAUUAAUUGAAAGAUGCAAUUGCAUCACUACCAGAUGGACCUGCGUUGUAUUAGCUAGUUGGUGAGGUAACGGCUCACCAAGGCGACGAUACAUAGCCGACCUGAGAGGGUGAUCGGCCACACUGGGACUGAGACACGGCCCAGACUCCUACGGGAGGCAGCAGUAGGGAAUCUUCGGCAAUGGGGGGAACCCUGACCGAGCAACGCCGCGUGAGUGAAGAAGGUUUUCGGAUCGUAAAGCUCUGUUGUAAGAGAAGAACGGGUGUGAGAGUGGAAAGUUCACACUGUGACGGUAUCUUACCAGAAAGG